CUGUAAUUGAGGCACUAGUUGCUUGAAAAAUUUGCGCCAGGUGGAGUCUACACAGACAAUGAUACGCAUUGUAGGCCUUUCAGCCACUCUACCGAACUAUUUAGAGGUUGCUACAGUUUCUGAGAGUGAAUCCAGAAGCAGGACUCUUCUUCUUUAUUUCUAGUUAUCGCUCUGUGCGCCUCGCACAGCAAUAUAUUGGUAUUAGUGAGCAGAAUUUUACAGCCCAUAUUGAAUUGCAGAAUGAGAUAUGCUACAAGAAGUUUGUUGAAUCACUCAGGAAAGGUUAUCAGGCAAUGGUAUUCGUUCCUUGAAAGACAAUUUAAAGGAUAUGUUAAGAUGAUUCACUUUUCCUUAUUGUUCUUGAAAUUUUCUCUAUGCAGUUUAUAAGUUCCUUGAAAGACAAUUUAAAUGCAGAGGUUGCACGUGGUACUGUCACCAAUGUCAAGGAAGCUUGUGAAUGGCUUGGAUAUACGUAUCUUUUCAUAAGAAUGAGGCUGAAUCCUUUGGUGUAUGGUAUUGGGUGGGAUGAGGUUGUUGCUGAUCCUUCCUUGAGUUUAAAGCAAAGAGUUCUCAUAGCAGAUGCUGCACGUGCCCUGGACAAAGCAAAAAUGAUGCGCUUUGAUGAGAAAAGUGGCAACUUUUUGUACAGAGCUUGGUCGAAUUGCAAGCCACUUUUAUAUUCAAUACUCAAAUGUUGAAACAUAGAAUGAAAUGUUGAGACGCCACAUGAAUGAGACUGAGGUAAUAGACAUGGUAGCCCACUCUUCAGAAAUUGAAAAUAUUGUUGUUCGAGAUGAGGAACAGAAUGAGCUAGAGACGUUGGUGCGAUCAUCGUGCCCAUUAGAAGUUAAGGGGACUCCUAAAAAACAUGGAAAGAUAUCCAUUCUCAUUCAGUUGUACAGAUCUUGUGGCUCAAUUGAUACCAUUUCGUUGGAUUCUGAUGCAGCAUGCAUAAGUGCAAGCUUGGCACUCAUUAUGCUUUCACAUUUUAUCAAAUUUAUAGACUGAAUUAAUUGUGUGUUUUCAUACCAUACAACUCUGCUGUGACUUGUUUCUGAUUGUCAUCAAAUAGUAUGCUCUGUAGUUAAGUAUAAAAUUUUGAUUUUGCACUUGAGGUUCCUUAUUGUGCGGUGCGGGUGAAACAUUUGGUGUAUGAUCUUUGUGUUCCAUUACAUGUUUUGAAUGCUGCCUUAUACACUGAAGUGUACUGUUUCUGAAUUGUUGACUUGACUGUAGGUCAUUUACAUAGCUCCUUUGAAGGCUAUUGUUAGGCCACCGCUGGUCCCAUCACAUUGAUCAAUGGGCGUCGCAGGCCCCUCCUUCGCUGGUCCUUAUUCUGUCUCGGGAUGCCCUCCCACCCCAAAAAAAUGUUUAGGAUUUGGAUUAUCUUGCAUUGGAUCUAUCUGGUGGCUUCAUUAUCUUUCAUCAAUCAAACAAACAAGCUAGCAACUUUUAGUGGCAGUUGUUACCGCUGCAAAAGCAAAAUUCCUUCGGGAAAGACUGUUAAAUAUCGUCGCAGAAGGUGUAAAAAACCGUCAGAAAAUAAUAAAAACCAUCAU